AUAGUCAUCUCUGACAUUGGCCUAGUUACCAGGCAGUGUAGAUAGAUGAUUUGAAAUUAUAUCAAUCACUAACUACACAGCCAGGUGAAAAGGUUUAUAAAGCAAUGUUUGUACA
rnacentral:precursor_RNA from 14 species